UCCUGGCUUAGGAUGAACGCUGGCGGCGUGCUUAACACAUGCAAGUCGAACGAAGCAACUUAUUACGAUCCCUUCGGGGUGACGAUUGUUGACUGAGUGGCGGACGGGUGAGUAACGCGUGGGUAACCUGCCUUGUACAGGGGGACAACAGUUGGAAACGACUGCUAAUACCGCAUAAGCGCACAGCUUCGCAUGAAGCAGUGUGAAAAGUUUUUCGGUACAAGAUGGACCCGCGUCUGAUUAGCUAGUUGGUGAGGUAACGGCCCACCAAGGCGACGAUCAGUAGCCGACCUGAGAGGGUGACCGGCCACAUUGGGACUGAGACACGGCCCAAACUCCUACGGGAGGCAGCAGUGGGGAAUAUUGCACAAUGGGCGAAAGCCUGAUGCAGCGAACCGCCGCGUGAGCGAAGAAGUAUUUCGGUAUGUAAAGCUCUAUCAGCAGGGAAGAUAAUGACGGUACCUGACUAAGAAGCACCGGCUAAAUACGUGCCAGCAGCAGC
rnacentral:rRNA from 1 species